rnacentral:SRP_RNA from 1 species
GCCGGGUGCGGUGGCGCGUGUCUGUAAUCCAAGCUACUGGGAGGCUGAAGCUGGCGGAUCGUUUGAGCUCAGGAGCUCUGAGCUGCAGUGGACUAUGUCGAUCGGGUGUCCGCACUAAGUUCGGUAUCGAUAUGGAGCUUCUGGGGGAGCCCGGGACCACCAGGUCGCCUAAGGAGGGGUGCAUCGGCCCAGGUCGGUAACGGAGCAGGUCAAAGCCCCCGUGCCGCUCAGUAGUGGGAUCGCGCCUGUGAAUAGACGCUGUAGUGCAGCCUGAGUAAUACAGCGGGACCCAGUCUUUU